UACAGAGGAUGCAAGCGUUAUCCGGAAUGAUUGGGCGUAAAGCGUCUGUAGGCGGCUUUUUAAGUCUGCCGUGAAAUCCCAGGGCUUAACCCUGGACAGGCGGUGGAAACUACCAAGCUGGAGUACGGUAGGGGCAGAGGGAAUUUCCGGUGGAGCGGUGAAAUGCGUAGAGAUCGGGAAGAACACCAACGGCGAAAGCACUCUGCUGGGCCGACACUGACACUGAGAGACGAAAGCUAGGGGAGCGAAUGGG
rnacentral:rRNA from 1 species